rnacentral:lncRNA from 1 species
CCAUCAACAUGCCAAUGCUCUGGAUGAGUCACAUGUGGCACCAUUCCUUACCUCCAGGGCCACUUAGUGUUUGACUGUCUCCAAUCGGGCUCUGGUAGUGGCAACCCAUGAGCAUCCCACAACAUCACACAUGCAUCAACACAUGCUGGACAUGUGGCCUAGCCUCAGCUCGACACCUGGCAUUCUAAGAGCAUGUCGGGCUCCCCUUUAAUGUAUUAAAUAGAUUUAAUAAUAAUAAGAUAAAUCUAAUAUAUAUAUAAAUAUUAAAAUGGAGGCUUCUGCAUUAAGAAGCCUCCAUUUGCCAUGUGGGUUUUUAGGGAAAG